CGCGUAGGCGGAUAAUUAAGUUAGAUGUGAAAUCCCUGGGCUUAACCUGGGAACUGCAUUUAAUACUGGUUGUCUAGAGUAGAGUAGAGGGAAGUGGAAUUUCCGGUGUAGCGGUGAAAUGCGUAGAUAUCGGAAAGAACAUCAGUGGCGAAGGCGGCUUUCUGGACUCAUACUGACGCUGAGGCGCGAAAGCGUGGGGAGCAAACAGGAUUAGAUACCCUGGUAGUCCACGCUGUAAACGAUGAAAACUAGAUGUUGGCGGGUUAAACCUGUCAGUAUCGAAGCAAACGCGAUAAGUUUUCCGCCUGGGGAGUACGGCCGCAAGGUUAAA
rnacentral:rRNA from 1 species